AGAGACAGCAGUGCCGCGGUAAUACGUAGGGUGCAAGCGUUAAUCGGAAUUACUGGGCGUAAAGCGUGCGCAGGCGGUUAUAUAAGACAGAUGUGAAAUCCCCGGGCUCAACCUGGGAACUGCAUUUGUGACUGUAUAGCUAGAGUACGGCAGAGGGGGAUGGAAUUCCGCGUGUAGCAGUGAAAUGCGUAGAUAUGCGGAGGAACACCGAUGGCGAAGGCAAUCCCCUGGGCCUGUACUGACGCUCAUGCACGAAAGCGUGGGGAGCAAACAGGAUUAGAUACCCCCGUAGUCCCUGUCUCUUAUACA
rnacentral:rRNA from 1 species